rnacentral:tRNA from 1 species
GGGGAUGUAGCUCAAUUGGCUAGAGCACCUGCUUUGCAAGCAGGGGGUUGUGGGUUCAAGUCCCGUCAUCUCCACCA